rnacentral:ncRNA from 1 species
GAGAGCCCGUUGCGUUGAGAGGCGCACGGCGGGUUCGGCGAGCGGCCUGGAGAAACGGGCUGGUGGCAACACCAGCACCGCGCUCCAGGCCGACUCAAC